GACAUUCGCCAGGUGUCGGACACGCACAGGGUCUGGCUCGGAUUCCAAAGUGGAAUUUGGAUCGGGUCCUGUCACAAACCUAUCCACCAAUCCCAUCCUCCUGUGCAAUUCUUCUCCUCCUUUGCAAAACAGAUAUAAGCAACUUCUCUGCAACCACUGCCAACAACUCCGCUCAACUUCUUUGUAGCCAACAACUUCUCUUCUUUGCAACAGCAAGAUGAGCAAGAUGGGUGAUGGUGUGAGAGCUAUGUUACUAUUUCUUGCAAGUAUAAAUAGAUGUUGUUGCUCUUUGCAUAAUUGCAUGCAAUAUGGCGCAUUAUUAAUGGCGAGAAAAUGAGCAAGAAAAAGACAGGGAAGGACUUUUGAGUAGGCAAUCAACCAUUAUAUAUUAACCUAUGGGGCAGGUAUACACUUUGCCAAGUAUAUAUGUUGUAUACUAGAGGGAAGGUGAAUAUAGGAGGGUAGAUAAUAAACUGUUGUAGUACCCUAUAAUACAGAUAUAUAUAUAACUUACCAAAUAUAACUUACCUUUACCAAA